CAGCCAUAAUGAUUUAGGAUAUUUCAAUUGUUGGUGAGUGAAUUCUUCGAUGCAUACUCUGCAAGUGACAUAAUUUAACAAUCUUAAACAAAAUAUUUGAAGAUGCCAGCCUAUUUGAAGAUCAUGUUCAUUGAAAUAGUUUUUGUCAUUGCUGGAUAUUCAAUUGUUUCAAGUGUUCCUAUUGUAUCUGAGAAAAAUAUUUGCAAUGAAUGCGAACCUCUCAUUGAGGAUGGCAACACAGCAAGCUUUUCAGUAAGAU